rnacentral:lncRNA from 1 species
AUGAGAGACAUGCUUUAUGCAAUACAUCCACCAGGAAUUGGGGAAAAUAAAAGACCAGAUUAUGGAGAACAUAGCCAAAUACCCAGUACUGAUUUGUUACAAGUGUAUCAGUUGCAACAGGAAGCCCCUCAUCCUCGAAGAAUCACCUGUACUAAUGAGGUGGAAAACAGACCAAAGUACUAUGGAAGAGAGUAAGUAUGGAUUAUGAGAAAACAUUUUAUAGAUUGGAAUAUUUAAGAGAGACAGGUAAAUGGAUGCUUGUAGUAAAAAUAAAAGCAAGAUGGGAAAAAAAAGCA